GACGAGAUGGUGGUGUUUAUGGUUGGGACUUUAAGAGGAAGUUAGUAUCCAGAGGUGCUAACUUCCUCACUCAAUUAUUUUUGAGACCAGGUGCCAGUGACCUGACACGUUCAUUUCGUUUGUACAAAAAAGAUGUUUUUCAAAAGUUAAUUGAUAAUUGUGUAUCCACAGGUUACGUUUUUCAAAUGGAGAUGAUUAUUCGCGCCAGACAGCUUAAUUACACUAUUGGGGAAGUCCCAAUCACAUUUGUUGAUAGAGUUUAUGGUGAAUCCAAAUUGGGUGGGUCUGAGAUAUUUCAGUUUGGAAAGGCACUUUUAUAUUUGUUUGCUACUACUUAGGAAUAAUAUUAAUUAUGCAUUCCAAUAUUAUAUUUGUAAAGUACACUUAUCACUAUAGGCUGAAAUAAAAUAAUUUUGCUUAUACAAAACAGAAUGUAAUGAAGUCGGCAGUGUUUGCAUCAAAAAAAUUUGGCCGAGUCGUCGAAGUCUAGUCGUUUCCGAUUCGACAUUUUCGAGGAUUAGGAAUAUUUAUAGGGACCUAGCAAUUAAACGUUACUUCACACCACGGUAGUACAUACUGGUACAUCAUAUUGUUUAACGUUUUAACGAGACCUUACGGAUAUCUUGGACCAGGUGUGAACUGCAUGUCUCUUCCAGAAGGAUUCAAUAGAAAAUGGUAAUUCCCGGUAGAGCAAGAAACAUCUUCAACGAUUUCAAUGAUUCUAUCAAAUUUUGACUGGCCAAGAGAUUUACCUUUUUACUGGGGAAUUCCAUGGAUUUGGACGCAACAUCAACAUCUUACAUUUUGCAAUACACAGAGCCCUGAAGACCGGGUGAAGAAGAAAUAUGGACACCUUCAAACCUUUCUGCUUUUAAUAUAAUUGAACCAAAAAAUAACGCAAAUUUAGCCAAAUUGGUUAAAUUUGGCAAAAAAAACAGCGCAGAACUAUUAUUUAUUAUAAACUUAUUACGCUUGUUAAAGGCAGCACAAGACUUGUUAUUGAGCUAAAUAGUUAAACAGUGAAAUUAUUCUAAAUGCUCCGCCAAGGUGGUAAUUUAUAGACAAUUUGUUAAGCGAUAGUAAAUACUAUAUGAAGACAUGAUAACUUUGUUCAGUACUUGUAAAUUGUAAUUAUACAUAGAUUGUUUUCAUAGUUAUGUUCAAUGUUGGAAGGACUAAUUUUAACAUAUUUUAGGGAUUUUGCACCUGACUCUGACAUCGUAGAAAGACCAUUCUUGAAUC